rnacentral:rRNA from 1 species
CACGUAGGGGCGAGCGUUGUCCGGAAUUACUGGGCGUAAAGGGCGCGCAGGCUGUUAUGCGAGUCUGCUGUGAAAUGUACCGGCUCAACCGGUGCCUUGCGGCGGAUACUGCAUAGCUGGAGUACUGGAGAGGGAAGUGGAAUUCCCGGUGUAGCGGUGAAAUGCGUAGAUAUCAGGAGGAACUCCGGUGGCGAAGGCGACUUCCUGGCACAAGACUGACGCUCAUGUGCGAAAGCUAGGGUAGCGAACGGGAUUAGA